rnacentral:rRNA from 1 species
CUACAAAGGAAUUGACGGGGCCCGCACAAGCGGUGGAGCAUGUGGUUUAAUUCGACGCAACGCGAAGAACCUUACCAGGGCUUGACAUCCCCUGACCGCGUAUGAAAGUACGUUUUCACCCUCGGGUGACAGGGAGACAGGUGGUGCAUGGUUGUCGUCAGCUCGUGUCGUGAGAUGUUGGGUUAAGUCCCGCAACGAGCGCAACCCCUACGUUUAGUUGCUAACGCGUGAAGGCGAGCACUCUAGACGAACUGCCGUCGACAAAACGGAGGAAGGUGGGAUGACGUCAAAUCAUCAUGCCCCUUAUGUUCUGGGCUACACACGUGCUACAAUGGCCGGUACAGACGGACGCAAAGCCGCGAGGUGGAGCAAAUCCUAAAAAGCCGGUCUCAGUUCGGAUUGCAGGCUGCAAUUCGCCUGCAUGAAGUCGGAAUCGCUAGUAAUCGCAGGUCAGCAUACUGCGGUGAAUACGUUCCCGGGCCUU